UGAGGAAUAUUGGUCAAUGGGCGAGAGCCUGAACCAGCCAAGUAGCGUGCAGGAUGACGGCCCUAUUGGUUGUAAACUGCUUUUAUAUGGGAAUAAAGUGAGGGACGUGUCCCUUAUUGCAUGUACCAUACGAAUAAGGACCGGCUAAUUCCGUGCCAGCAUCCGCGGUAAUACGGAAGGUCCAUGCGUUAUCCGGAUUUAUUGGGUUUAAAGGGAGCGUAGGCUGUUUGUUAAGCGUGUUGUGAAAUGUAAGAGCUCAACUUUUAGAUUGCAGCGCGAACUGGCAGACUUGAGUGCGCAGAACGUAGGCGGAAUUCAUGGUGUAGCGGUGAAAUGCUUAGAUAUCAUGACUAACUCCGAUUGCGAAGGCAGCUUACGGGAGCGCAACUGACGCUAAAGCUCGAAGGUGCGGGUAUCGAACAGG
rnacentral:rRNA from 1 species